rnacentral:misc_RNA from 1 species
UACCAGCGCAAAGCAGCCACCACAAACAAUUGAGCAGACAACCACACUGCUCACUAAGAAGAAGACAUCACAAUCAGUUCAGCUAUUAUUUCUUGCCAUGAAAUUGCAGGUGGGAGAGAAGAAGUAUAGUAUUCUAUAACACAUUCAGUGUCUCUCAUAUAACAGCUUCAAUUUCAUCAGAGUUCACUGCCACUCCAUUUGGGGCAUCUUCUGAUCGAAGUUGAGCAGAAACACCAUCAAUAGCAGAGUUCAGU